rnacentral:misc_RNA from 1 species
AAGUCGUAACAAGGUAUCCGUAGGUGAACCUGCGGAUGGAUCAUUACCAAUUUUAUAUACUAGUGUGUAUGCCGCUGUCAAAGGUGGUACUACACUACUACUAUUAUGUAAACGUUGAACUAGAUCAAUUGGUGUGGAUUGCUUGGGAAUGGACGAAGCGACAAGCCUCUUCCGGACAGGCAAACCCCACACUGAUACCCUUUUCAAUAUAUACUAUACUACUAGUACAUACUACAAACAAACAAAAGCUAUAAUAGGACUUAUAAACAGGCUGAGUGGGUAAAAUCCUCGGCUUAACCAAUAUAACUAUUACAACUUUCAGCAAUGGAUCUCUAGGCUCUC